rnacentral:rRNA from 1 species
UAGCUUGCUACCUGACCUAGCGGCGGACGGGUGAGUAAUGCUUAGGAAUCUGCCUAUUAGUGGGGGACAACAUUCCGAAAGGAAUGCUAAUACCGCAUACGCCCUACGGGGGAAAGCAGGGGAUCUUCGGACCUUGCGCUAAUAGAUGAGCCUAAGUCAGAUUAGCUAGUUGGUGGGGUAAAGGCCUACCAAGGCGACGAUCUGUAGCGGGUCUGAGAGGAUGAUCCGCCACACUGGGACUGAGACACGGCCCAGACUCCUACGGGAGGCAGCAGUGGGGAAUAUUGGACAAUGGGCGAAAGCCUGAUCCAGCCAUGCCGCGUGUGUGAAGAAGGCCUUUUGGUUGUAAAGCACUUUAAGCGAGGAGGAGGCUACUUGGAUUAAUACUCUAGGAUAGUGGACGUUACUCGCAGAAUAAGCACCGGCUAACUCUGUGCCAGCAGCCGCGGUAAUACAGAGGGUGCGAGCGUUAAUCGGAUUUACUGGGCGUAAAGCGUGCGUAGGCGGCUUUUUAAGUCGGAUGUGAAAUCCCUGAGCUUAACUUAGGAAUUGCAUUCGAUACUGGGAAGCUAGAGUAUGGGAGAGGAUGGUAGAAUUCCAGGUGUAGCGGUGAAAUGCGUAGAGAUCUGGAGGAAUACCGAUGGCGAAGGCAGCCAUCUGGCCUAAUACUGACGCUGAGGUACGAAAGCAUGGGGAGCAAACAGGAUUAGAUACCCUGGUAGUCCAUGCCGUAAACGAUGUCUACUAGCCGUUGGGGCCUUUGAGGCUUUAGUGGCGCAGCUAACGCGAUAAGUAGACCGCCUGGGGAGUACGGUCGCAAGACUAAAACUCAAAUGAAUUGACGGGGGCCCGCACAAGCGGUGGAGCAUGUGGUUUAAUUCGAUGCAACGCGAAGAACCUUACCUGGUCUUGACAUAGUAAGAACUUUCCAGAGAUGGAUUGGUGCCUUCGGGAACUUACAUACAGGUGCUGCAUGGCUGUCGUCAGCUCGUGUCGUGAGAUGUUGGGUUAAGUCCCGCAACGAGCGCAACCCUUUUCCUUAUUUGCCAGCGGGUUAAGCCGGGAACUUUAAGGAUACUGCCAGUGACAAACUGGAGGAAGGCGGGGACGACGUCAAGUCAUCAUGGCCCUUACGACCAGGGCUGCACACGUGCUACAAUGGUCGGUACAAAGGGUUGCUACCUAGCGAUAGGAUGCUAAUCUCAAAAAGCCGAUCGUAGUCCGGAUUGGAGUCUGCAACUCGACUCCAUGAAGUCG